UGUAGUUUUUCGCGUAAUGUAAUUCAUAAGAGUUAAUACUGUGUAAUAAAGUGUGCUAUAUAGUAUAACUUGGAAAUAAAUAAGUUUAAGUUAGUUUGAAACUGUUGAACCACAGUUUGAAGGUUUUAAAAACUAUAACAUGCCAGAAAGGGACAAUGAACCAUUUUCCAAUCCUCUCCCUCCAGCAGGCUUGGACUUGCGACGUGCAGAAGAAGCUGACAUCAGCCAUCCCAUGACAAAUGAUGACUUCAGGAAAUUGUUGAUGACACCUAGAGUUCCACCACCAUCUGCACCUCCCACGGCUGAACCAGAAGUCUACAGAGAAGAGCCAAAGGAAAGUGACAAAGCUGAAAAAAGGAAAAAUAAAAAGAAAUACUAUGCUGACCUUAAGAAGCAGGAAGAAGACAAACUUGCUGAACUUUCUAGAAAAUACAGAGAUCGAGCAAAGGAAAGAAGAGAAGGAAAUGCCGAAGACUACCAGAGUGAAGAUCCUAUAUCAUCAACUGCAGGAUAUAGAGCUGUAGCUCCUGAUGUCAAAUCAGGUAUGGAUGCUGCUGAACGUCGUCGCCAGAUGAUUCAGGAGUCCAAAUUCUUGGGUGGUGAUAUGGAACAUACACAUUUGGUGAAAGGUCUUGACUAUGCUUUGCUGCAGAAGGUGAGAAGUGAAAUCACCAGCAAAGAGAAGGAAGAGGAAGAAAUGGAAAAAGUUAUCAUGAAAACAACAAUAAAGGACGAAGAAGAUAUGCAGUUCAAGACCAGAAUGGGGAGAAACUUGUAUCGUCUCUUGUUUCGUGGAUAUCAAGUUGAAAAGAAUGAUCUCUUCCUUCCGGGACGUAUGGCAUACGUUAUUGACUUGGAAGAUGAAUACGCAGAGAGUGAUAUUCCUACCACUCGACUUCGUAGCAAGGCUGACUGCCCAAUCAUUGAGACCCAGACUACACUUACCACUAAUGAUAUAGUGAUCAACAAACUGACUCAGAUUCUUUCAUACCUCCGGCAAGGACCUCAUCACAGGAAAGGGAAAAAGAAGGAAAAAAUUAAGCUACGAGAUGAUGAGAAAGCUCAUGGAAAGAUGGGUGACGAGAGUAUAUAUGGAGACAUUGGGGACUACAUGCCAACCUUGGACAGAAAAGAAAAAGACAAAUACUCCAGUAGAGAGAGAAACAGAGAUAAGACAACAGAGAAGGACAAGGAGAGGAAACGAACAUACUUUGAAAAACCUAACGUAGAGGAUGAUCGUGAGAAAGACCGUGAAAACAAGAGAGAGCACAGUACCAGUGAGCAAGUAACUAACUGGGGAGGAGAAGUGAAAGUUAUCAAGCCUGAGAAGACAAAUGACAACAUGGAAAGAAAUGCUUCUGGAAGAAAAGCUGAGGACAAUAGACUCCGAGCCAAGUUAUCCAGCAAGUUAGAGAGAGAGAUUCCUGAAAGUUAUGCAGAGUGUUAUCCUGGGGCUCCUGAAUAUGAUGAUGCUUUAGACGAUAGUGAUGAUGAAGUUGAUUAUUCCAAAAUGGACAUGGGAAAUAAGAAAGGACCUAUUGGUCGAUGGGACUUUGAUACACAAGAGGAAUACAGUGAAUACAUGAGCAACAAGGAGGCACUGCCCAAAGCUGCUUUUCAAUAUGGUGUAAAGAUGGCUGAUGGACGAAAAACUCGUCGUUUAGCCACAGGAAAAAAGGAUGAGAAAACCAAGCUCGACAGAGAACUACAGAAAAUUAACCAGAUAAUCUCUAAACGAAAGGCUGCAGAAACUGAGGCACUAGUCGCUGGCAUGGGUACACCUGAUGUAAAAAGAUCACGAUAUUAACUGUGGAGGAACAGAAAGUUUUGCUGCUAAUGGAGUGAGUGACGAAGUUAAAAUAAGGACUAGACCAAAUCUGUAUAAUUAAGAUGCAGCCUGGAUCAAGAAACCAUAGAGAAGACAUCCAGAAAGAUAGUUACCAUUCACUGCUUCAAGUUACAACCUUAAAGGAUGGACCCAGUGAGUGUAACUUAAUGUCUGUCUAUCUUUAAGUAAAGAUUUUCGAACACCUGGCAUGACAAACCAACACACACUGUUACACCUUGUGAUUUACUCAUUCAAUUGACAGGCUUGUUCAUUUUUAAGAAGGAGUUCCAGUAUCUGUAUUUUUGAACAUUUGUACAUUGUAGAAUAAAUAUUAAUAACAUGUC